GACGAACGCUGGCGGCGUGCUUAACACAUGCAAGUCGAACGGAAAGGCCCUGCUUUUGUGGGGUGCUCGAGUGGCGAACGGGUGAGUAACACGUGAGUAACCUGCCCUUGACUUUGGGAUAACUUCAGGAAACUGGGGCUAAUACCGGAUAGGAGCUCCUGCUGCAUGGUGGGGGUUGGAAAGUUUCGGCGGUUGGGGAUGGACUCGCGGCUUAUCAGCUUGUUGGUGGGGUAGUGGCUUACCAAGGCUUUGACGGGUAGCCGGCCUGAGAGGGUGACCGGCCAAAUUGGGACUGAGAUACGGCCCAGACUCCUACGGGAGGCAGCAGUAGGGAAUAUUGCACAAUGGGCGGAAGCCUGAUGCAGCAACUCCGCGUGCGGGAUGACGGCCUUCGGGUUGUAAACCGCUUUCGCCUGUGACGAAGCGUGAGUGACGGUAAUGGGUAAAGAAGCACCGGCUAACUACGUG
rnacentral:rRNA from 1 species